rnacentral:snRNA from 1 species
GUAUUUGCUUUAGCAGUACGUACACUAGAAUUGGAACGACACAGAGAAGGGAUGGCCCCUGCGCAAGGAUGACACGCAAAAUUAUCAAGCGUUCGAUAUAUUU